rnacentral:rRNA from 1 species
CCUACGGGUGGCAGCAGUGGGGAAUAUUGGACAAUGGGCGAAAGCCUGAUCCAGCCAUGCCGCGUGUGUGAAGAAGGCCUUCGGGUUGUAAAGCACUUUCAGUGGGGAAGAAAGCCUUGGGGCUAAUACCCUCGAGGAAGGACAUUACCCACAGAAGAAGCACCGGCUAACUCCGUGCCAGCAGCCGCGGUAAUACGGAGGGUGCGAGCGUUAAUCGGAAUUACUGGGCGUAAAGCGCGCGCAGGCGGUCUGAUAAGCCGGUUGUGAAAGCCCCGGGCUCAACCUGGGAACGGCAUCCGGAACUGUCAGGCUAGAGUGCAGGAGAGGAAGGUAGAAUUCCCGGUGUAGCGGUGAAAUGCGUAGAGAUCGGGAGGAAUACCAGUGGCGAAGGCGGCCUUCUGGACUGACACUGACGCUGAGGUGCGAAAGCGUGGGUAGCAAACAGGAUUAGAUACCCUUGUAGUC